rnacentral:rRNA from 1 species
GAUGAACGCUGGCGGCGUGCCUAAUACAUGCAAGUCGAGCGAACAGACGAGGAUCUUGCUCCUCUGACGUUAGCGGCGGACGGGUGAGUAACACGUGGAUAACCUACCUAUAAGACUGGGAUAACUUCGGGAAACCGGAGCUAAUACCGGAUAAUAUAUUGAACCGCAUGGUUCAAUAGUGAAAGACGGUUUUGCUGUCACUUAUAGAUGGAUCCGCGCCGCAUUAGCUAGUUGGUAAGGUAACGGCUUACCAAGGCGACGAUGCGUAGCCGACCUGAGAGGGUGAUCGGCCACACUGGAACUGAGACACGGUCCAGACUCCUACGGGAGGCAGCAGUAGGGAAUCUUCCGCAAUGGGCGAAGGCCUGACGGAGCAACGCCGCGUGAGUGAUGAAGGUCUUCGGAUCGUAAAACUCUGUUAUUAGGGAAGAACAAAUGUGUAAGUAACUAUGCACGUCUUGACGGUACCUAAUCAGAAAGCCACGGCUAACUACGUG